rnacentral:rRNA from 1 species
GACGAACGCUGGCCGCGUGCUUAACACAUGCAAGUCGAACGAAGUGGCGAACGGGUGAGUAACGCGUAAUCAACCUGCCCUUCAGAGGGUGACAACAGUUGGAAACGACCGCUUAUACAGCAUACUGAAGGAGGGGAUUGCGUCUGAUUAGCUAGUCGGAGGGGUAACGGCCCACCAAGGCGAUGAUCAGGAGCCGGUCUGAGAGGAUGAACGGCAACAGUGGGACGGAGACACGGCCCAGACUCCUACGGAAGGCAGCAGUGGGGAAUCUUCCGCAAUGGACGAAAGUCUGACGAAGCAACGCCGCGUGAGUGAUGACGGCCUUCGGGUUGUAAAGCUCUGUUAAUCGGGACGCGGUACCGGAAUAGAAAGCAACGGCUAACUACGUGCCAGCCGCCGCGGUAUUC